UACGUAGGGGGCUAGCGUUGUCCGGAAUCAUUGGGCGUAAAGCGCGUGUAGGCGGUCCGGUAAGUCCACUGUGAAAGUCGAGGGCUCAACCCUCGAAUGCCGGUGGAUACUGUCGGGCUUGAGUACGGGAGAGGCGAGUGGAAUUCCUGGUGUAGCGGUGAAAUGCGCAGAUAUCAGGAGGAACACCAAUGGCGAAGGCAGCUCGCUGGGACGUUACUGACGCUGAGACGCGAAAGCGUGGGGAGCAAACAGG
rnacentral:rRNA from 1 species